rnacentral:rRNA from 1 species
AUUGAACGCUGGCGGCAGGCCUAACACAUGCAAGUCGAACGAGUGGCGGACGGGUGAGUAAUGUCUGGGAAACUGCCUGAUGGAGGGGGAUAACUACUGGAAACGGUAGCUAAUACCGCAUACCAUCAGAUGUGCCCCGAUGGGAGUAGCUAGUAGGUGAGGUAACGGCUCACCUAUGCGACGAUCCCUAGCUGGUCUGAGAGGAUGACCAGCCACACUGGAACUGAGACACGGUCCAGACUCCUACGGGAGGCAGCAGUGGGGAAUAUGGCACAAUGGGCGCAAGCCUGAUGCAGCCAUGCCGCGUGUAUGAAGAAGGCCUUCGGGUUGUAAAGUACUUUCAGCGGGGAGGCGUUACCCGCAGAAGAAGCACCGGCUAACUCCGUGCCAGCAGCCGCGGUAAUAC